UUACGGACAACACACAAGCACAGAAACGCAAACAUAUACCCAUAACCUGAUAGAGAAAGAGAGAGAACAGAAGAAAAGAAAAGAAAAGAAGCAGAGUGGUAAACAAAGAGAAACAACAAAACCCAGAAUCUAGAGACUAAUAACGGCUCUUGCUUUGUGAAUAGCAUACCAUAGCAACAACAACAACACAGAACACACAAAGAAAAAAGGUUUCAUUGGAUCGUAACUGGGGGGCACUUGUCCAAAUUGGAAAAUUCCCGAGUGAUUAGGGUUUUGAUCGGAGGGUGUGAUUGAAAGGAAGACUGUGCUUGUUCAUUCUCUCCGUGGGGGUUGCGUGAAAUGGGCAUGGGCUCUGAUCUUUUCAGGGGUUCAUAUUGUGGAUUUAGAGCUACGGUGGUUGAGCAUUCGCACUUGCAGAUUGCUUAAGAUGGUGUUUAAUAUUGCUUCUUUGAGCAUGGAAGAAGAUUGUCUAUAUUAAUAACAGGGAAUCGGUGAUCAGGAUUUGGAGAACCGUUCUUGGGCACA